GGCAUGGGCCUGGGUGCUGUGCUUAGAGCCAGAAGUGGGCAGGUCGCGAGAUACUUGAGAGGCAGAGCCCACAGGACUUGCUGAUGGCUUCUGUGAGGGGGAUGACAGGGAAGGUGAGGAAUCAAGGCAGAGUCUCAGCUUUGGGAUCUGAGAUUCAUUCAACAAAUAAUUAAUUCAUUGCCGCGUGCCAGGCCUAUUCUAAAAGUUGAGUAUAUGAAGACAACAGUGGUGAUGGCCUCACGCAGUAAUCCCAGCACUUUGGGAUGCUGAGGCAGGAGAAUCGCUUGAACCCGGGAGGCGCAGGUUGUAGGGAGACGAAAUCGCGCCACUGGCACUCCUGCCUGGGCGACAGAGGGAGGCUGCGUCUCAA
rnacentral:lncRNA from 1 species